GAUGAACGCUGGCGGCGUGCCUAAUACAUGCAAGUCGAGCGAACGGACGAGAAGCUUGCUUCUCUGAUGUUAGCGGCGGACGGGUGAGUAACACGUGGAUAACCUACCUAUAAGACUGGGAUAACUUCGGGAAACCGGAGCUAAUACCGGAUAAUAUUUUGAACCGCAUGGUUCAAAAGUGAAAGACGGUCUUGCUGUCACUUAUCGAUGGAUCUGCGCUGCAUUAGCUAGUUGGUAAGGUAACGGCUUACCAAGGCAACGAUGCAUAGCCGACCUGAGAGGGUGAUCGGCCACACUAGAGCUGGAACACGGUCCAGAGUCCUACGGGAGGCAGCAGUAGGGAAUCUUACGCAAUGGGCGAAAGCCUGGCGGAGCGACGCCGCGUGAGUGAUGAAGGUCUUCGGAUCGUAAAACUCUGUUAUGAGGGAAGAACAUAUGUGUAAGUAACUGUGCACAUCUUGACGGUACCUAAUCAGAAAGCCACGGCUAACUACGUG
rnacentral:rRNA from 1 species